UUUUUUUUUUUUUUUUUCCUUCUGUCUUGAACACAGACAUGAUGGUUGGUGUGGUGGCAGCCAUCUCUUUACCAUGAGUGAAAGGUCAAGAGAAUCAGUCAUGUCUCCUAACAUAGUUGAGUUGCUGAACCAAAACUAGCAGCCAUCUGCCUCUGGCCUCUUAUAUUAGAAAAACAAACCCCUAUUGGUUUAGAACCAAUACAGUUAGCUUUUCUGUUUCUUGCACUGAACACUUUUCUAACCAGUAUAGAGGUGGAUAAAGGAAACUGCUCCCAAAGGACUUGGUUUUACUUGUGUUUGAGAAUUAAAGACAAAUUCAGAGGACAAUUUAAUCAGAUGCCUGGAACCACAGGCUGAGCUCUAGCCCCGGUAAAGAAUAGAAAAGAACUGCCAAGUCUCAUUACCGAAGGCACAGAACAGCCCUCCAGUGAAGCAUCAAAGUUAAUGGUGUAUCUCAAUCUCAUCCACUGGCAAAUCCAAGGCAGAAAAAUGACUCCAGUGAUGGAUGCCACCACAUCAGCUGUUAGCUUGCUAUGGUUUUAGUCCCUUAAUCACCAACAGCUUCAGGAUCCCAAUGGAGAGAUGGCUGAUCAAACAUGAGGUGAGACAGCUGAGAAGGGGUGCAAUGGCUCUAGCCUGCGGGAACCAGAGUAGGCUUUCAUGGGCAAGAAGAAUCCAUCAAGAGCAGGUAACUAUUGUCCCUAUCUUAUAUGUGUAAGAAAACAGACAAGAUGAGAGUUUUAAGAGCUUUGUGUUUAAACUGAUUGUUCAUCAAACACUUAUUAAAUAACUACUGUGUACCAGGUCCUAUGCUGGGUGUCAGUGAGAUGCCCUGAGUUCAGUGAGGACAACAAACUGUGAAUGCAAAUAACAGCAACAUCAACCAAAGGGAUCCUGGGAGUCUCGUCAGAGGAAGAAAAUGCACUGGUGUCUUGGGGAGGGAAAUAACUUGGACUCUGCAUUGCUGGUGGAUGGGAAGAAGUGACUCAAUUCGGCUCCUCAAUUACUUUUGGGACAUACAUGAUGUGAGCAAACAAAAUUAAAAGGAGAAAGAGGGAAAGAAUGGACUUAUCCAUGAGGACAGGGACUCUGCUCCCGAUCAUUCCCUAGCACCUAUAACAUGCUAAAUGAACACACUGAUUAGGCAUGUGCAGUAUUGCACAGGCACUAUGCUGGGUACCUUAGGUAUAUGGGUGGAGGAGUUAUUGCCAUUUUUCAGAAAAGAACUGCGACCCAGAGAGGAGAAGUACUGGUCAAGGCCUCGCAGUGAGUGAGUGCCAAGUCAGGAUU
rnacentral:lncRNA from 1 species